UGAUUUGUUGACACGAGUCAGAAUUCUACUCUAACCUAACCCAAAAUAGCUAUUUUCCCUAACUCGGGGGAAAAGAAAGAAUCAUAAAACCAAUCUAAUUAUAUGAUGUAUGUGACUCAUUUUAUUACCACUGCCUUGCAUCAAUCUGAGAAGUGAUGGAUACUAUCUGCCUCCGGCCUUGAAUAAAUAUCAGGGGGAAGUUGAACAGAAGUGAGAAAACAAUCUCUCUCCUUGAACAGGGAGAACUAACUUUGUCUCUGCCAAGGAAAUCCUCAGAGAAGCUGACCUUUUAAGUAAUGUACAUCCUUAAAUUUGGAGAUUUAUUUUGUACAUAAGCUCAAGAGAAGACCGGAGGAGAAGCAGGGGCGACAGGGAGGGUAUAAAAAUAUGAUCAGGCAAAAGUUCGCAGGAGAGAGUUAACACUGACCUAUUAUGUCAUUGAAUUUUGUAGUGGUUUCCUCUUUUUUUAUGAAGCAAUAUCUGGGAACUUGGUAAAAAGGAACGUUCUCAGGUUAUACCCAGACCUACUGAAACAGGAACUCUGGAAGUGGGGCCUCACAAUCUGUACCUCACAGGACCACCAGAAGAUUCUGGAAUCCUGCUUUUGAAGGAGCUCCUAACCCGGGAAGGAACUCAUCUCUCUUCCCACUCUGGGAACAAUUUCAUUAAAUAAGACUGUUGACCCAUUCCCAAGGACUUUCCAUUAAUGUAAGGAGUCUCUUUAAAGUCAUUUGUGGGAUUUUUAAGAAUUCAACAGUGGGGUUAAGUCUUCCUUGCAUGGAGCCUGGGAAUGACCAUUUCGAUUCCCCACCCAGCCUACCAAAAUUUAAUCAAAUGUUCAUCAAUUUACAUCAUUUCAUUAAGAGUAGCUUAGGAUUUUAAAACAAGACUUAAUGAUAGCUAAAUAAUGGCUAGCCAUCAGGAGAGCCAAUAUAAAAUCACCUGCAUAGUCAAAACCAGGUUGAAGUUCACAGAUGGCAGGGCUUCUUAGCUAUUAGCCAUACACAAAUCAUGUCAGUACAGACAUGAAGAUGAUGCUGGGACAACCAGAUGUGUUAAGGACAUGUUAGUGUGGCCAUCCCUACCAAAGGCUCUAGCCUAAACUGCUCAAGUUCAAAUCCUGAUUCUAUAGCAACCUUACAAGGUAGCACUUUUAUUGAUCAUGUUUUACAGAUUAAGAAAUGGGAGCCUUUUGGCUCUAUUUUAGUGUAUGUAAGAUAGAGAUGAUGUUGAUGAUGAUGAUGAUGAUGAUGAUAAUAAUAAUAAUAAUAAUAAUAAUAAUAAUAAAACAUUUGUUGAGUGCUUACAAAGUACUAAGUAGUAGACUAAGCAAUUUAAAUGUAUGUGUCAUUUAAUUUUUCCCAGUAUCACUAUAAGUUAGUUAUUGUUAUCUCCAUUUUGCAGAUGAGGAAAUUGAGGCCCAAGAAAAUUGAAUAUUAUACCCCAAACUAUACUACUAGUAUAAUGGAAAAAUUGCUAUACAGAACCAGGUAGUUUGGCUUAGCUAUUACUCUACUUAAUAUGAUAUUAAUCAAAUUCUAAUUUUAGAUCCAUCAUUAUUCAAAAAUUGUACAAAGACACGUCUUAGAGUCAAAUAUCAAUUAUUCCUGAAUAACUUACCUGGCAAACACCUUUGCAUUUUUCCAUUGCCACUCUCUUUGUGUAGCAUUUUUCUGACUCUUCCUGAAGCUUCCCAUUUCACAUAUUUAACUGAUCAUGUGUCAUAAACUAACUUAGAAA
rnacentral:lncRNA from 1 species